GACGAACGCUGGCGGCGUGCUUAACACAUGCAAGUCGAACGGAAAGGCCCUGCUUUUGUGGGGUGCUCGAGUGGCGAACGGGUGAGUAACACGUGAGUAACCUGCCCUUGACUUUGGGAUAACUUCAGGAAACUGGGGCUCAUACCGGAUAGGAGCUCCUGCUGCAUGGUGGGGGUUGGAAAGUUUCGGCGGUGGGGGAUGGACUCGCGGCUUAUCAGCUUGUUGGUGGGGUAGUGGCUUACCAAGGCUUUGACGGGUAGCCGGCCUGAGAGGGUUACCGGCCACAUGGGGACUGAGAUACGGCCCAGACUCCUACGGGAGGCAGCAGUGGGGAAUAUUGCACAAUGGGCGGAAGCCUGAUGCAGCAACGCCGCGUGCGGGAUGACGGCCUUCGGGUUGUAAACCGCUUUCGCCUGUGACGAAGCGUGAGUGACGGUAAUGGGUAAAGAAGCACCGGCUAACUACGUG
rnacentral:rRNA from 1 species